rnacentral:lncRNA from 1 species
GCAAGAAUUUAAUGUGCGACAACUCCCAAGAAAUUAAAUGGAACAAAAUCAUUAGCAUUAUAGUUCAUUUUGGUAAAUUUUGCACCUUGGAAUAAACUCCAGAUCGAACAACUCCAUUAUUCUCCUGCAUACCUGAAUAAUGCGAAGAAUUUUUGGCCCUGUUUGGUUUCCCUUUUUCAGCCAGAUUCCGCUGUAUGGCAGCCAAAUCGUAACCAAAGAGCGAACGGUUCCGAAUGUGAUGUGAAGGAUCAACACCUCCAAACCAGGCUAGCUACCGCUAGAGAUCAUGACACCUAAAAGAAUAAAACAAUUCCAACAGCAUCCAAAUCAAGCUAGCUAUUAAUCUCACAAAAGAUGCAUUCUCGAAAUUAGUCUUUCGUAAGGAAUCGUAUAUUAUCCAACUUCGUUACAUAGGACUUGUGCUGACGAAGCAUAUACCAAUCUCACCUCCAUUGUGAAUCUGUAAACGUGCAAAUGACAGUCGAUGCCAUCAUUCCUACAGAUGACAUCUGUGAUGUAGUGCACUGGCAGAGCCCUCUGUACUCUCCUAUCCUGGUCAUGCUCCUUGUUGUUUCUACCACCAUAUCCUUAGAAGUAGAUAAAAUCUUAUUUCUGUAUGUGCUUACGUACAACAAAUGCUCCUAAGCUAAACAAUUCAAAGAAUAAGAAUUUUGAGAAUUCUCCGUAGGGCAUAUCCAAGCAUUGUGCACAACAAAAGAUAGUGAACUGAACACCAUGUUUGGAUAGGAAGCAGAACUAAAUGCAUGAAAAAUCACAGAAAUACUAAGAGAGGCAUAGCAACCACAUGCAUAAGAAUUAACCAGAACGGCUCAUUGCUAAGAACCUGCGUAUCUAUACACACACAAAGAAUCAGAAAGAGCCCUCUAGCUUACUAUAUAGGGCAUAAAUUGCAUAUCCCAACCUCAAAUGGGUUAAUUGUCUCUCAGAGCUACUAAACAGUUAGAAGAUUCUUUGCAUCAGUUAUGAAGAUCCAUGAUUAACCCUUUCUCUUUGGAUAGAGGUUGUUUCACUAAUGCUCUUGAUCGGUUCUUUUUUCAAAGUUAGGAACAAGGUAGUACCAUGACAAAAACUAAAAGGAAACACACCAUCAUUACCACGAAAAAUAUGACGUACCACCAGAAAUUGAUCAUUGGAUUAUCGAAACAUACCAUUCCCCCUUGAUGGGUGUUCAGAGGCGUGCACAUAAGAGAAUACCACCAACAUGACCAACCUCGCCGAUUCCAACACCAAACAGCUUACUCAACCCGUACUUUG